AGGUAGUGACGAAAAAUAACGAUACGGGACUCAUCCGAGGCCCCGUAAUCGGAAUGAGUACACUCUAAACCCUUUAACGAGGAUCAAUUGGAGGGCAAGUCUGGUGCCAGCAGCCGCGGUAAUUCCAGCUCCAAUAGCGUAUAUUAAAGUUGUUGCGGUUAAAAAGCUCGUAGUCGAAUCUGUGUCUCGCGCCGCCGGUUCAUCGCUCGCGGUGUUUAACUGGCGUGUCGCGGGACGUCCUGCCGGUGGGCUUAGCCUCUCGCGGGGCGGCCCAACUACAAUCCCACCGCGGUGCUCUUUACUGAGUGUCGAGGUGGGCCGGCACGUUUACUUUGAACAAAUUAGAGUGCUUAAAGCAGGCUCAAACUUCGCCUGAAUAUUCGUGCAUGGAAUAAUGGAAUAGGACCUCGGUUCUAUUUUGUUGGUUUUCGGAACCCCGAGGUAAUGAUUAAUAGGAACGGAUGGGGGCAUUCGUAUUGCGACGUUAGAGGUGAAAUUCUUGGAUCGUCGCAAGACGGACAGAAGCGAAAGCAUUUGCCAAAAACGCUUUCAUUGAUCAAGAACGAAAGUUAGAGGUUCGAAGGCGAUCAGAUACCGCCCUAGUUCUAACCAUAAACGAUGCCAGCUAGCGAUCCGCCGACGUUCCUCCGAUGACUCGGCGGGCAGCUUCCGGGAAACCAAAGCUUUUGGGUUCCGGGGGAAGUAUGGUUGCAAAGCUGAAACUUAAAGGAAUUGACGGAAGGGCACCACCAGGAGUGGAGCCUGCGGCUUAAUUUGACUCAACACGGGAAACCUCACCAGGCCCGGACACCGGAAGGAUUGACAGAUUGAGAGCUCUUUCUUGAUUCGGUGGGUGGUGGUGCAUGGCCGUUCUUAGUUGGUGGAGCGAUUUGUCUGGUUAAUUCCGAUAACGAACGAGACUCUAGCCUGCUAACUAGGCGUAUUUUCGACAUCUCAAAGGCCCCUCGGCCCGGCGCUCUCGCGUCGCGGUCGUGCGCGGUUUUUACUGUCGGCGUACAAUCAAUUCUUCUUAGAGGGACAGGCGGCUUCUAGCCGCACGAGAUUGAGCAAUAACAGGUCUGUGAUGCCCUUAGAUGUUCUGGGCCGCACGCGCGCUACACUGAAGGAAUCAGCGUGUCCUCCCUGGCCGAGAGGCCCGGGUAACCCGCUGAACCUCCUUCGUGCUAGGGAUUGGGGCUUGCAAUUGUUCCCCAUGAACGAGGAAUUCCCAGUAAGCGCGAGUCAUAAGCUCGCGUUGAUUACGUCCCUGCCCUUUGUACACACCGCCCGUCGCUACUACCGAUUGAAUGAUUUAGUGAGGUCUUCGGACCGGUACGCGGCGGCGCUCCCGCGUCGCCGAUGCUGCUGGGAAGAUGACCA
rnacentral:rRNA from 1 species